GAAUAUUUAAAUCAAGUAUUUUAACUUGAUAUGCGAAAGAGAAGUCAGAUAUGAGAUCCAAACCCUGAAUUGGGAUUGUGAUCAAGAGAUGAGAAUAAUAAUAUUAUAUUAUUGUUAUAAUGAUUUUACAGUACAAUAAUUAUGUACUGUGUAUGUGCGGACAGAUAAUAUUGAGCAAUGACAGUCAAUUAGGUCAUAGCAUAUUACCGUGCUGUGAAACCCUAAUUAUUAAACUCAGUUACGAGAUAUGACUGAGUAGUGACUGUGUAUAUGAAGGUUACUGUGUAUAAGAAUCGGUAAUUAGAAGAAAACCCUAAUUACUAUUUUUACGUCGAUAAUUAGGACAAACCCUAAUUAUUACAACCCUAAUCGGUUGAAGUUAGAGACCGUAAUGACUGUGUUAAUAACAUACACAGAUCAUUAGAGAACCCUAAUGGUCAAUUAGAAACCUAAUUGAUAGCGUUAAGAAACCCUAAUUUUUCAAUCGAAAACCCUAAUUUUAAAUUAUCGGGUUUAAUUACGAUGUUAAUGAACAAGUAUUUUAAUUUACCAAAGAUAGAAAGUAAUUGGUAAAUGAUAAGAAUUACCAUCUAGUGAUUAAAUACUACAUUUAAUUGCUAUGUACAAAAAUGCCCUUGAAAUUUUAUGCGAAAUUACCAAAAUGCCCUUUUUGGCUUAUUAGUGUAUUAUUGGAGGAAUCUUGCUAGCAAAGCAUGGCAAACAUGAUUACCCUACCAAUUGAGCAUCCAAUACUCAAUUAUGC
rnacentral:lncRNA from 1 species